rnacentral:rRNA from 1 species
CCUACGGGAGGCAGCAGUGAGGAAUAUUGGUCAAUGGACGAGAGUCUGAACCAGCCAAGUAGCGUGAAGGAUGACUGCCCUAUGGGUUGUAAACUUCUUUUAUAUGGGAAUAAAAUGUUCCACGUGUGGGAUUUUGUAUGUACCAUAUGAAUAAGGAUCGGCUAACUCCGUGCCAGCAGCCGCGGUAAUACGGAGGCUCCGAGCGUUAUCCGGAUUUAUUGGGUGUAAAGGGCGCGUAGGUGGAUUGUUAAGUCAGUUGUGAAAGUUUGCGGCUCAACCGUAAAAUUGCAGUUGAAACUGGCAGUCUUGAGUACAGUAGAGGUGGGCGGAAUUCGUGGUGUAGCGGUGAAAUGCUUAGAUAUCACGAAGAACUCCGAUUGCGAAGGCAGUUCACUGGACUGCAACUGACACUGAGGCUCGAAAGUGUGGGUAUCAAACAGGAUUAGAUACCCUUGUAGUC